rnacentral:rRNA from 1 species
GAUGAACGCUGGCGGCGUGCCUAAUACAUGCAAGUCGAGCGAACAGACGAGGAGCUUGCUCUUCUGACGAUAGCGGCGGACGGGAGAGUAACACGUGGAUCACCUACCUAUAAGACGGGGAUAACUUCGGGAAACCGGAUCUAAUACCGGAUAAUAUAUUGAACCGCAUGGUUCAAUAGUGAAAGACGGUUGUGCUGUCACUUAUAGAUGGUUCCCCGCCGCAUUAGCUAGUUGGUAAGGUAACGGCUUACCAAGGCAACGAUGCGUAGCCGACCUGAGAGGGUGAUCGCCCACCCGGGAACGGGGACCCGGUCCAGACUCCUACGGGAGGCAGCAGUAGGGAAUCUUCCGCAAUGGGCGAAAGCUUGACGGAGCAACGCCGCGUGAGUGAUGAAGGUCUUCGGAUCGUAAAGCUCUGUUAUUAGGGAAGAACAAAUGUGUAAUUAACUAUGCACGUCUUGACGGUACCUUAUCAGAAAGCCACGGCUAACUACGUG